AGGCCUACACAUGCAAGUCGAGCGGAUGAGUGGAGCUUGCUCCAUGAUUCAGCGGCGGACGGGUGAGUAAUGCCUAGGAAUCUGCCUGGUAGUGGGGGACAACGUUUCGAAAGGAACGCUAAUACCGCAUACGUCCUACGGGAGAAAGCAGGGGACCUUCGGGCCUUGCGCUAUCAGAUGAGCCUAGGUCGGAUUAGCUAGUUGGUGAGGUAAUGGCUCACCAAGGCGACGAUCCGUAACUGGUCUGAGAGGAUGAUCAGUCACACUGGAACUGAGACACGGUCCAGACUCCUACGGGAGGCAGCAGUGGGGAAUAUUGGACAAUGGGCGAAAGCCUGAUCCAGCCAUGCCGCGUGUGUGAAGAAGGUCUUCGGAUUGUAAAGCACUUUAAGUUGGGAGGAAGGGCAUUAACCUAAUAUGUUAGUGUUUUGACGUUACCGACAGAGUAAGCACCGGCUAACUUCGUGCCAGCAGCCGCGGUGAUACGAAGGGUGCAAGCGUUUAAUCGGAAUUAC
rnacentral:rRNA from 1 species